GUGCUUACUCUGGCAGCACAUAUACUAAAACUGGAAUGAUUCAGGGAAGAUUAGUAUGGCCCCUGUGCCAGGAUGACACAUGAAUUCGUGAAGCAUUCUAUAUUAAA